rnacentral:ncRNA from 1 species
UGCUAGCGUCAUGGGUGACGGCGCUGUGCCGUCCACACCAUGUGCAGCGAAGCCGGUGCGAGUCCGGCGCUGUCCCGCAACUGUGAGCUCCCCUCGCGGGGAGCAAGCCAGGUCGCCUCACGCGGUGUGCCAAG